AAUUCUACUGCCCAUCUAAACAAGCCAACAUGUGUAAGUCUCUACAAUAUCUUUUUUAAUUUGUGUUUUAUUGCAGAAUACCUUUCUUCACUCUUGGUUAUGAUCAGUAUUUGACAUACACUUGUUUUCUAUUAUCAAAAUGAGUCAUAGUUAUCCAUGCAAAAUGUUUUUAUUGUAAGGAUUUCGGGUCCUUGGGCCUCAAAUACAACACGUUGUUGUUCUGAUGGUUUUUUUAAAAAUGUAUUUUGAAAGGAUUGUGUUUUAUUGCCUUUAAAAAACUUUCCAUUUACAACUAUUAAUUUGCACUUUGUUUGUCUUUCUGUCACAGGUGACAAAGAGGUAAUUGAUUUUUUUAUACUUUUCUAUUUUCUAUAUGUGUGACACGCAGCAUGUAAACAUGUUCACCCAUGAAGAAUCUGUUUCACUCUCAUUAAAGGAAAAGAAAUGCUCAGAGGGCUCCAGUUCAGAUGAGACAGACACUGACUCAGACGGAAAAGGAGGACGGUGUAAGACGGAUCACAGAAGGAAGAAGAGAAAUAAAUGCAGAAAAGGAAAAGAAGAGAGGGGAAAAUCUGGGGAUCAUAAGGGUGGUGGUGGUGGUUGUGAAAGUGGUCGAAAAUAAUUUUUUUCAAAUGAAUCACAAUCCUCUGAGAAUUAUAUAUUAUGAAUGAUAUAUAUUUCUAAUAAACUAAUCAAGAAAAUUUAA